rnacentral:rRNA from 1 species
GACGAACGCUGGCGGCGUGCUUAACACAUGCCAGUCGAACGGAAAGGCCCUGCUUUUGUGGGGUUCUCGAGUGGCGAACGGGUGAGUAACACGUGAGUAACCUGCCCUUGACUUUGGGAUAACUUCAGGAAACUGGGGCUAAUACCGGAUAGGAGCUCCUGCUGCAUGGUGGGGGUUGGAAAGUUUCGGCGGUUGGGGAUGGACUCGCGGCUUAUCAGCUUGUUGGUGGGGUAGUGGCUUACCAAGGCUUUGACGGGUAGCCGGCCUGGGAGGGUGACCGGCCACAUUGGGACUGAGAGACGGCCCAGACUCCUACGGGAGGCAGCAGUGGGGAAUAUUGCACAAUGGGCGGAAGCCUGAUGCAGCAACGCCGCGUGCGGGAUGACGGCCUUCGGGUUGUAAACCGCUUUCGCCUGUGACGAAGCGUGAGUGACGGUAAUGGGUAAAGAAGCACCGGCUAACUACGUG